rnacentral:rRNA from 1 species
UACGGAGGAUGCAAGCGUUAUCCGGAUUUAUUGGGUUUAAAGGGUGCGUAGGUUGUUUGAUAAGUCAGUGGUGAAAGUCUGUCGCUUAACGGUAGGAUUGCCAUUGAUACUGUUGGACUUGAAUAUGGAUGAGGUAGGCGGAAUGUGUAGUGUAGCGGUGAAAUGCAUAGAUAUUACACAGAACACCGAUUGCGAAGGCAGCUUACUAAUCCAUCAUUGACGCUGAGGCACGAAAGCGUGGGGAUCAAACAGGAUUA